GGCUGGUCCAAAAUCAGUGAGUUAUCUCAAUGAAUUGUUCAUAGUCAGUUACAGAUUGAACUCUUUGUUCUACUCUUUCCCCCUUCUCACUACUACACUUGACUAGUCUUUA
rnacentral:Y_RNA from 1 species